rnacentral:rRNA from 1 species
UACGUAGGGUCCGAGCGUUGUCCGGAAUUACUGGGCGUAAAGAGCUCGUAGGUGGUUUGUCGCGUUGUUCGUGAAAACUCACAGCUUAACUGUGGGCGUGCGGGCGAUACGGGCAGACUUGAGUACUGCAGGGGAGACUGGAAUUCCUGGUGUAGCGGUGGAAUGCGCAGAUAUCAAGUGGAACACCAGUGGCGAAGGCGAGUCCCUGGACAAUUCCUGACACUGAGGCACGAAAGCUAGGGGAGCAAACAGG